UGAAGGAACUCGGCAAAAUGACCCCGUAACUUUGGGAGAAGGGGUGCCCCGUUAAGGUGUUAAAGCCUGAGGGGGCCGCAGUGAAGAGUCCGCGGCGACUGUUUACCAAAAACACAGGUCUCUGCUAACACGCAAGUGGAAGUAUAGGGGCUGAUACCUGCCCGGUGCUGGAAGGUUAAGGGGAGAGGUUAGUCUUUUAGACGAAGCUUCGAACUGAAGCCCCAGUAAACGGCGGCCGUAACUAUGACGGUCCUAAGGUAGCGAAGUUCCUUGUCGGGUAAGUUCCGACGCGCAUGAAUAGCGUAAUGACUGGAGCACUGUCUCCUCGACCGACUCGGUGAAAUAGUAGUGGCGGUGAAGAUGCCGCCUACCCGCAGCAAGACGGAAAGACCCCGUGGACCUUUACUGUAGGCUUCUAUUGGUCACGAGCGAUCGCUGCGUAGGAUAGGUGGGAGGCUUUGAAGCCGGCGUUUUGGCGCUGGUGGAGCCAUUGGUGAAAUACCACCCUUCGUUUGUUUGUGGCCUAACCCCGAUUCCCAUGAACCUGGGCGGGGGACAGUGGGUGCUUGUCAGUUUGACUGGGGCGGUCUCCUCCUAAAGAGUAACGGAGGAGCGCAAAGGUUGGCUCAGCGUGGUUGGAAACCACGUUUCGAGUGCAAGAGCAUAAGCCAGCUUUACUGCAAGACAUACACGUCAAGCAGUCACGAAAGUGGGCUCUAGUGAUCCGGUAGUCCCGUGUGGAAGGGCUAUCGCUCAACGGAUAAAAGGUACUCCGGGGAUAACAGGCUGAUACCGCCCAAGAGUUCACAUCGACGGCGGUGUUUGGCACCUCGAUGUCGGCUCAUCACAUCCUGGGGCUGAAGCCGGUCCCAAGGGUAUGGCUGUUCGCCAUUUAAAGUGGUACGCGAGCUGGGUUUAGAACGUCGUGAGACAGUUCGGUCCCUAUCUGCCAUGCCUGUACGAGACUUGAGAGGAGCUGCCCUUAGUACGAGAGGACCGGGGUGGACGUACCUCUAGUGGACCGGUUGUUGCGCCAGCAGCAUAGCCGGGUAGCUAUGUAUGGUCGGGAUAAACGCUGAAAGCAUCUAAGCGUGAAACCCACCUCGAAACGAGUUUUCCCUUGAGAGCCGUGGAAGACCACCACGUUGAUAGGCU
rnacentral:rRNA from 14 species